AUGAGAACCCUAUGCUGGAACUGUCGUGGGAUUGGCGACCCCGCGACAGUAGAGCUCCGCGAUCUUAUGGAGGCUAGUGCGCCGUCGGUGCUUUGUAUAGUGGAGACACAGAUAGCAAAGAACCGAGUGGAGGGUUUGGAGGCUUCGUUAGGUUUUGAUAGUAGCUUUGCAGUAGCAAGUAGUGGAAGGAGUGGAGGAUUAUGUAUUUUCUGGAAAUCAACUGUUGAUCUUUUAAUAAAAAAACUUUUCUCAAUACCACAUUGA
rnacentral:rRNA from 1 species